rnacentral:rRNA from 1 species
CUACGGGUGGCACCAGUGAGGAAUUUUGCGCAAUGGGGGGAACCCUGACGCAGCAACGCCGCGUGAGUGAAGAAGGCCCUUGGGUCGUAAAGCUCUGUCAACAGGGAAGAAGUUACUGGGUAUUAAUAGUAUUUAGUAUUGACGGUACCUGUGAAGGAAGCACCGGCUAACUCCGUGCCAGCAGGCCGCGGUAAUACGGGGGGUGCAAGCGUUAUUCGGAAUUAUUGGGCGUAAAGGGCGCGCAGGCGGCCUUGUCAGUCAGAUGUGAAAGGCCAGGGCUCAACCCUGGAAGUGCAUUGGAAACAGCAAGGCUUGAGUACGGUAGAGGAAAGGGGAAUUCCUGGUGUAGAGGUGAAAUUCGUAGAUAUCAGGAGGAACACCGGUGGCGAAGGCGCCUUUCUGGGCCUGUACUGACGCUGAGGCGCGAAGGCGUGGGUAGCGAACAGGAUUAGAUACCCCGGUAGUC